AUGACCACCACAGCCGUGUGGUCAAGGCCAGAGCCCUCCAGGGCGGAGCGGAAGACCACCACGGCCUUGUGGUCAAAGUCAAAACCCUCCAGGGCGGAGCGGAUGACCACCACGUCCUCAUGGUCACCGUCGGAGUCCCCCAGGGCGAAGUGGUCUCGGGCACUGCAUCGGGAACGGCCUCCGGCACCGCAUCGGGAAAGGUUUCGGGCCCCGCCUCGGUCUCCGGAACCGCAACGGACACCGCCUCGGCUUCGGGCCCCGCCUCGGCCUCCGGAAAAGCAUCGGACACCGCCUCGGCCUUGGGCACCGCCUCGGCCUCCGGAACGGCAUCGGGCACCGCCUCGGGCACCGCCUCGGCAUCGGCCUCUGGAACGGCCUCGGGCACCGCCUCGGCCUCGGGAACAGCAUCGGCCUCGGGAACAGCAUCGGGCUCCGCCUCGGCAUCGGGCACCGCAUCGGCCUCUGGAACAGCAUCGGGCACCGCGUCGGCCUCUGGAACGGCAUCGGGCACCGCCUCGGCAUCGGCCUCUGGAACAGCCUCGGGCACCGCCUCGGCAUCGGGCACCGCAUCGGCCUCUGGAACAGCAUCGGGCACCGCGUCGGCCUCUGGAACAGCAUCGGGCACCGCCUCGGCAUCGGGCACCGCCUCGGCAUCGGGCACCGCCUCGGCAUCGGGCACCGCCUCGGCAUCGGCCUCUGGAACAGCCUCGGGCACCGCCUCGGGAACAGCAUCGGCCUCGGGAACAGCAUCGGCCUCGACCUCUGGAACAGCAUCGGGCUCCGCCUCGGCAUCGGGCACCGCAUCGGCCUCUGGAACAGCAUCGGGCACCGCCUCGGCAUCGGGCACCGCAUCGGCCUCUGGAACAGCAUCGGGCACCGCCUCGGCAUCGGGCACCGCCUCGGCAUCGGGCACCGCCUCGGCAUCGGGCACCGCCUCGGGAACUGCAUCGGCAUCGGGAACAGCCUCGGGCACCGCCUCGGGAACUGCAUCGGGAACAGCAUCGGCCUUUGGAACGGCAUCGGGCACCGCCUCGGCAUCGGGCACCGCCUCGGGAACUGCAUCGGCAUCGGGAACAGCAUCGGGCUCCGCCUCGGCAUCGGGUACCGCCUCGGGAACUGCAUCGGCAUCGGGAACAGCCUCGGGAACUGCAUCGGGAACAGCAUCGGCCUCUGGAACAGCAUCGGGCACCGCCUCGGGAACAGCAUCGGCCUCGGGAACAGCAUCGGCCUCGGCAUCGGGCACCGCCUCGGCAUCGGGCACCGCCUCGGCAUCGGGCACCGCCUCGGCAUCGGGCACCGCCUCGGGAACUGCAUCGGCAUCAGCAUCGGGCUCCGCCUCGGCAUCGGGCACCGCCUCGGCAUCGGGCACCGCCUCGGCAUCGGGCACCGCCUCGGGAACUGCAUCAGGAACAGCAUCGGGCUCCGCCUCGGCAUCGGGCACCGCCUCGGCAUCGGGCACCGCCUCGGCAUCGGGCACCGCCUCGGGAACUGCAUCGGCAUCGGGAACAGCAUCGGGCUCCGCCUCGGCAUCGGGCACCGCCUCGGCAUCGGGCACCGCCUCGGCAUCGGGCACCGCCUCGGGAACUGCAUCGGCAUCGGGAACAGCCUCGGGCACAGCAUCGGCCUCGGGAACAGCAUCGGGCUCCGCCUCGGCAUCGGGCACCGCAUCGGCCUCUGGAACAGCCUCGGGCACCGCCUCGGCAUCGGGCACCUCCUCGGGAACUGCAUCGGGCACCGCCUCGGCAUUGGGCACCACCUCGGGCACCGCCUCGGGAACAGCAUCGGUAUCGGCCUCUGGAACAGCAUCGGGCACCGCCUCGGCAUUGGGCACCGCCUCGGGCACCGCCUCGGGAACUGCAUCGGGCUCCGCCUCGGGAACUGCAUCGGGCUCCGCCUCGGGAACUGCAUCGGGCUCCGCCUCGGGAACUGCAUCGGGCUCCGCCUCGGGAACAGCCUCGGCCUCUGGGACUUUCUCCAGGCCUUGAGGGACGGUCGACGCCUGUCUCCUCCUCCUCCGUCCUCCACGAUGGCGAGUCGGCGGCACCUUGUCUGGAGACUCAGGCGUUGAGUCGUCCAUCUUAA
ensembl:lncRNA